rnacentral:snoRNA from 1 species
GUCCUGGCCCCAGCGCCCGUAAAGCUGGUCUCACUGGUGCUGCCUGGAGAAGAAGAGAAAAUCUUGUUCCAGUAUGCUUCUGA